rnacentral:rRNA from 1 species
GAUGAACGCUGGCGGCGUGCUUUACACAUGCAAGUCGAACGAACCUUCGGGUUAGUGGCGGACGGGUGAGUAACGCGUGAGAAUCUGCCCUCAGGAGGGGGACAACAGUUGGAAACGACUGCUAAUACCCCAUAUGCCGCGAGGUGAAAUGAAUUUCGCCUGAGGAUGAGCUCGCGUCUGAUUAGCUAGUUGGUGUAGGUAAUGGCUCACCAAGGCAUCGAUCAGUAGCUGGUCUGAGAGGAUGAUCAGCCACACUGGGACUGACACACGGUCCAGACUCCUACGGGAGGCAGCAGUGAGGAAUUUUGCGCAAUGGGCGAAAGCCUGACGCAGCAACGCCGCGUGAGUGAUGAAGGCUCUCGGGUCGUAAAGCUCU